ACCCCAAAUCAACAGCACAGAGCUGAGCACGCCUGAGGCACCUCAUCCUUCCGUACUACUCCAGCAUUACAAAAGGCUCUGGCAUUGGUAACAAGGUCAGAUUUAUUUCCACUCCACUGUCUGUGAGACACAGCAGUGCUCUCAUUCAGGUCACAGCCUUAACCCCCAGCAGCCCAUCCUCCUGUGGCUGCCCGCAUCCAGCAGGGCUGGGAAAAAAAGCGAGGGUUUUGUUAGAGGAGGCCCUUCGAUCUACGGCUGGAAGAGUUCUUGCAGUGCAGAAAGGAAAAACAGCCCCGUGAUCUGCUGUAACUACAGGCAUUGCACAACCAGCCCUGUUUUAUUUUUGGCGUUACAUGUGGCAGGAAAGCAUGACUUAUCCUCCUGGAGUUUUACAGGGCAGAUUCUUUUGCAUUUCAAGUAUCCAAUUUUUUCCUAUGCAGACACAGCCCAAAGCUCCCCUGGUCCUCUCGGCCUGCUUGGGGGUGGCAAGGUGGGAGCUCCCAGCAACUUGUCCAUCAUUUACCCAUUACAGUUAAGGGGCAGGGGUGAGCCCAAGUGAGCACUUUACAGAAGCUUGUCCUUACUAAAUCGGGACUUUUCACAUUGCUUAGGUCUUUAAAUGCAUCCAGGCCCACAUGGGCUCACCUUGACUUGCCCUGUACCCAGGGGAGAGCAUACAGCUUCCUCCUCUGCAGGACCAGAGGCAGCCUGUUUGGGAACUAAGGUGAUACGUUGGGUAUUGACUAAGAGGAGGAAAAAGAGCUGCUUCUGCCCAGGCAGAGCUGUGCCAUGAACCUCAGAGCCUCUCCCUGGGGCCGUACAGCCCCACAGUGGAUCAGUGAGGGCAGCUCCCAUAGCUCCCAUCCCAACGCAUGGCCCACAUUGCUCCAUAGAUAACACAGGGAGACCAAAGGCACUCAAAAUAACAAACACUGCCCAGUGAUGGGCAGCACAUGGACGCUGGGGAUAAUGUUCCUCUUAUCUCUUUUUUGUUGCUCCUCAAAACAGUGUACUUUGAGCGUGGAUGUCUGCCAGCAGCACCAGGACCCCGGCACAAAGUUGCAUGCACUCAGCCUGGGCCAUCCAUCAGCCUUUAUGCAGUGCCGGAAAGCACAGAGGAUGCAGGGAGAGGUGGAGUGGGACACCGUGUGGAGAACAGAACAGCAACAAACACAACUUUGCUGUUAGGGGAAGGGGCUGAUCCUCCUCUCCACCCUCCUGGUCUUUGUUCUCUCUGAAUGCUGAGGCCUCAGGUAAACGCUGCUGCAUGAGCACAUCCCUCAGCAGCCUCCAGCUUUUCCUUGUGCAAUGGCUGAGCAGAACAGUGCCAGCAAUCAGGAAGAAAGCUUUGGCUGCUCCGUGCAACAAAGUGCUUUUAAACUGGGGUGGGGAGAGGCCAGAAAGCAACUAGAGGCCAGAAAGCAUCUCCCUGGUGCUUGCUGGCAUCAUCCUGACACUCCCACAGAGCACCAUAACCCCACUGAAGGCAGCUAUCACCUUAAAGUCAAGCAGAGAGCUCAGACUAAGGUGACAAAAUCCAGCUGCACAUCACCCUUGGUGGGACAGAGUGACAAAGGCUCGGUGCAGCAGUGCCUGAGGCCUGCUUUGACUUGAGAAGCUCUUGAAAUGGUGGCUGAGCAGGCAGGCUGGUCGUGGGCUCCUCCUGGUGCCUGGAGCAGAGGGUCAGGACUGCUCCCAUCCCCGACGUGGGCAGGACCCCAUCCCCUCCCGGUCAGCGUUCUGUCCCUGCUGAGCUGCAGCUCUCUGCUUCCUCUCUG
ensembl:lncRNA